UGUGGGUGUUAAAUAGUUCAAAAUCUGUAUUUGAAAUAGCAUAAUAAUUUUUUAAAAUGUGAAGUAUAACAAUGAAACUUUCUAUAGAGUCUGACAGCUUUUCAAGACAAUUUUCCCUGUACAAUUUCAUCUAUUUAUUGAUUGGAGCCUGGCCUAUUUCCAAAACUGUUUUGAGGUGACAUUAUCUCAAAAUGCAUGUAUUCUUCAGCUAGGGGUAAAGCACAGCCCUAUGUUCUGCUAAGUAAUAUGAGGAUCCUGAUAGCCAAUGCCAUCCAUAAAGUGUCUUUCAGCCACAGCUUCAGUCUGAGCGUAUGCGACCAGGGUAGUUAUAUGUCCCUAUUUGCAGCUACAGAAAUAAAGGAAGCACUGCUCAGUGUUUCCCCAAGUCACAUGGUCUGUGUUCUGUCGCGACUCACAACUGAAUCACAGAGUAGGGAGGUGUCUUAGCGAUGACUCAGUUCUCCCCUGCAUUGAUGCAUAUUAAUGUUAUUCCUCACUACCCACAGCCCAUCUCAUCUGGAGGUUUUAUUCUUCUUGAUUGUCUCAGUGUCAAGGAGUUCACUGCCUCAUGAGGCAGCUCAGGAACUGGGCUAUAAAUAAUGACUCAUUGUUGUAACAUUGAUUUCUCUCCUCACUCCUGGAAUCUCAGAAGAGUAAAGGGAGAAAUAGGGCCAGUGUUGUACAAUUGAUUCCCUCUUUCUUUGUAAAGGCUGCCAGGUGACUUGCUAGGAAAGAGAAACGGGAGGAAGGGGCUAGCAUUUAGAGUGAAUGUUUGCAACGGGAGAGGCACUUUGUUAGGUGCCUUAUAUUUGCUGCUGUUUAUUUUGGUCUUCACAAAGUUCUUGUACUCAUGAGUAAACUAAGUCUCAGGGAGAUCAAAAGCCUUAUCCAGAAUCACCCAAUAAGGAAGGUGGAUUUAGAAUUUGGGAUUUUAUCAUCUUAGUUCAGUUCAUUUUACCAUUUCUGGGGAACUUGCUAUGUGCCAGGCACUGUGUUAAAUACUUCCCACACAUAUUUUUGAUAAUACUUGAAUCAAUCUGGCAUUAAUAUACCUAUUUGACAGGUGAAGAAAUGGAGGCUUACAAAGUCAAGUGACUUUCCCAGGGUGAAAAAACUAGUACAUGGUAUGACCAGGAUUCAAAUCUAGUUGUGAUUGAACCCAAAUCCUGUGUCUUUUCAUAGCCCCCUGCAGCCCCAGGAUUUAGCUUCCAAAUACUAAGUAUGACAGCACAUUGGGCAUCAGCCACACACCUGGCUCUGGCCUAAGCUCUGGGAUACAAGGCGAUGGAUGAGGUAUACCAUGCCCCCUAGUAAUGAGCUAAGUGUUAGUUGCUAUGUUGCAGAGCAGGGUCACAUUAACUAAUAUUUUAAGCAGUAACGAUACAGUGCUUUGGGCGUUGACAUAAGGAAGAGAUGGACUGGGAGUUGUUUUUUGUUUUUAAGAGGGAAGAAUUGAAAAAAGUUAGUGGAUAGUAGACUUUCAAAAAUGUUUGUCCAUUAGAAUGGAGUUGUAUGUAUCCAGAGGGUAAUAUUCCCAUAGGCAUAAAAUGUUAAGAAGACUGACUCAUACCUGGAAUUUGGAAAGGUAGCCUUCCCAGAUAUUUUGGGAACUUCUUUGUUGAGAGAGAGAGAGAGAGAUGCCCAAUAUGACAGCACAUUGGGCAUCAGGCAUAUGGCUGAUCCUGGGGCCGCAGGGGACCAUGAAAAGACACAGGAUUUGGGUUCAAUCAUGAGAGAAAGGGAAUCCUUUCCCUAGCUUCUUACACAGAGAAUCUGUAGGACCUGCUGGAAUCACUAGUUGGUUUUGUUUCCCAAGAGGAAGGUUUUCUAAGGCACACCCCUACAUUUUUUUUUUUUUAAAUCAGCAUUCACUGUAAGAAAAAAAAUCGACAUAAUAUUCUCAUAAUGAUUUCUCCUAAUAAAGAUGGAUAUUGUUACAGUUACACUACAGUAAUCUUAUGACUCUCUGUAUACACUGAAUGCCAUUCAUUCAUUCAUUCAUUCCUAAGAAGUUACUGAAUGUAUAGCACAGAGCUUGGUGAGGC
rnacentral:lncRNA from 1 species